rnacentral:misc_RNA from 1 species
GUGCUAUAUAACCCUCUGUUUUGUUGGUGAGAAAAGUUGAAAAGAAAGUGAAAUUAUCUGUGAUUCUUAAUAUAUAAGAUGCGUGGUUUCUCCCAGCAGCUGCUUAAGCUAAUAUAAAGCUUUCUUUUUCUUGUUCUUGCUCUUUCUAGAUACCAAGCAAGGGAUAGAGUUUUGUUUUUCAUAAGAUAAGUCCAGUUGUCGAUUUUGGGCACAUGCAUGCUUUUUUGUGCUUUGUUUCGAGUAAGUAGUGAUGAUUCUUGAUUCUUAACGAUUUAGUGGCAAAAAAUUGUAGGGAAGUUCUGAUUAGCAGAGUAAAUCUUAGGUAUUUUGCUUUUUAGGAUUCCAUGGUGGAAGAACCUUGGUGUGUGGCGUUCAAUUUAUGCAGUCUCUUUACUUGGACAUGGUUGGGUAUGUUUUGUGCCUUGCUAUAUUCAUGUUUGUGUUGUGUGCAUGUGUCAAUUUCUUGUGUACGGAUGAGUGUGGCUUAUUUGAUGAAUCCUAUAGUGUUAUGAAGAACGCAGUAAGGAAAUCAAAACUGGAAGCCUUUUGGUACGGUGUUAUAUUUCUGCAAUAAUAAUGCUUAUCUAGUUCGCUAGAUUCCAAUUUCUUUGCUUCCUCUUCAAACAUUAUAAUCCUUAAGGUAUAAGUGAUCUAAUACAAGUAAAUUAUACCAGAUAACUAGAAUGUGAAAGAAAAAGGGGUACUCCUUGAGAGUUUGGUUUUUGUUGUCUUUGCUCUUAAGUUCAUGUAUCCGAAGAUAAUAUUCCUUGGUCUAUUUUUCAUGGGCUGUAACUUGAUAUUUUAUGGCUUCUUUUUUUCCUUUUUCCUAUUAGUUUUUCACAAUAUACAAAAUUUCAGUUUCUUUGUAUUGUGAUGCUUGUGUACAAAAUGGAUGUCUUUUUAGAUGGCAUCCUUUUUUUUUUUUUAAAG